CCCUCCUCCCUGGAGCCACGGAGAACGGGCCCCAGGAGCUCCCGGAGCGACCGUGGCCGCCCUUGCGCCCGGAGCACGGGCCUCGGCACGGACCCCGCCUUGCCCACGCCUGCUUCUUGGGCUUCUCUGCUCCCAGAGCGGUGAGUGUGUCGGUUUCGGUGCUCAGUCUGGCGGCGUGUUCAGCGGCCUGCGCUGACACAGACGCGGGAGACCAGCGGCCGGGAGUCCGGCCUCCCCCAGCGCCUGUCACCGCACGCAGUGACGUGGCCCAGGAGUGGUGGCGGGCGGAAGGCGCCCCACGAGGCUGGGGCGGAGCAGACGGCCGCGGGCUGAGGGGGAGCCCACCAGCUAGAGAGAAGCUCCCGAGCCUUUUGGGUGGUGCACACGGCCCAGGCCCAACCCUCCACCGUCCCUCGUUCCCAGCAUCUCCCCGCGUCACCGGGCCCAGCAGCCUCACUGCCCGGCCACGCCAAAUGUGAGUGGACUGUGUCCCAAGGUCAAGUCGGCUUCUGGUCAAGCAAGGAAGGAGUGCUGGCCAGCUUCGAGGCAGCCAUUUCCCACGCUGAAUGGGUGCAGGGCAGGGGCUGGCUGGAGCUCGGCGAAUUUCUGGGCAGAACGGUGGCGUCGGCACCUCCAGUGACCGGCACCGGAAGGAGCUGAGAGCCGGGAUCAGGUUCACAGAUGAGCCGCCAAAGAUUGUCCAGAGCUUCCCGGCCUGACCGCAGCUCCCCGCCCCCAGCCCUGCCCGGCCCUCAGCGGGCCCUCAGCGGGCUCUCUGCGCCGUGGCCCACGCCAGGCGGGCGUCCUCUGACAACCCCAGGUGUCCCUUUCCUGCCACCUGGAAAGCGCUGCUCAAAGCAUCUUUGUUUGAGGCGGGACUGGUGCAGCCGCAGCCCUGCCCUGGCCUCCUUAAUCGCCGCCUGGCCCGGCCCACACUCCUCAUGCCCUUUAAGCCCCCAGGUCCUCCCCUGCCCAGUCAGCAAGGAGGGCACAGGCCACACGCAGGCACCGACCUGA
rnacentral:lncRNA from 1 species